rnacentral:rRNA from 1 species
CGAAUGCUGACAUAAGUAACGAUAAAGCGGGUGAAAAGCCCGCUCGCCGGAAGACCAAGGGUUCCUGUCCAACGUUAAUCGGGGCAGGGUGAGUCGACCCCUAAGGCGAGGCCGAAAGGCGUAGUCGAUGGGAAACAGGUUAAUAUUCCUGUACUUGGUGUUACUGCGAAGGGGGGACGGAGAAGGCUAUGUUGGCCGGGCGACGGUUGUCCCGGUUUAAGCGUGUAGGCUGGUUUUCCAGGCAAAUCCGGAAAAUCAAGGCUGAGGCGUGAUGACGAGGCACUACGGUGCUGAAGCAACAAAUGCCCUGCUUCCAGGAAAAGCCUCUAAGCAUCAGGUAACAUCAAAUCGUACCCCAAACCGACACAGGUGGUCAGGUAGAGAAUACCAAGGCGCUUGAGAGAACUCGGGUGAAGGAACUAGGCAAAAUGGUGCCGUAACUUCGGGAGAAGGCACGCUGAUAUGUAGGUGA